rnacentral:rRNA from 1 species
GGUUUAUGGAUUCUGGCUCAGAUUGAACGCUGGCGGAUGUGCUUUACACAUGCUGGUCAGAACGGCAGCACGGACUUCGGUCUGGUGGCCAGUGGCGAACGGGUGAGUAAUGUAUCGGAACGUGCCUAGUAGCGGGGGGAUAACUACGCGAAAGCGUAGCUAAUGCCAUACUUUACCUCGGGAAAGCGCGGGGACCUUCGGGCCUCGCACUAUUAGAAGCGGCCGAUAUCGGAUUAGCUAGUUGGUGGGGUAACGGCUCACCAAGGCGACGAUCGUAGCUGGUUGAAGGACGACCAGCCACACUGGGACUGAGACACGGCCCAGACUCCUACGGGAGGCAGCAGUGGGGAAUUUUGGACAAUGGGGAAACCCUGAUCGCCAUCCCGCGUGCGAUGAAGGCAGCUGAGUUAUCAAAACCACUACCGCUGAAAAAGAAACGGCACGGGAUAAUGCCCCGUGCAACUGACGGCUUACCUGCAGAAUAGCACCGGCUAACUACGUGCCAGCAGCCGCGGUAAUACGUAGGGUGCAAGCGUUAAUCGGAAUUACUGGGCGUAAAGCGUGCGCAGGCGGUUCGGAAAGAAAGACUGAAAUCCCAGAGCCUUUGGAACUGCAUUUUUAACUACCGAGCUAGAGUGUGUCAGAGGAGGUGGAAUUCCGCGUGUAUGCCGCGAUCAUGCGUAGAUAUGCGGAGGAACACCGAUGGCGAAGGCAACCUCACAGGAUAAUACUGACGCUCAUGCAGCGUGGGGAGCAAACAGGAUUAGAUACCCUGAUGGUCCACGCCCUAACGAUGUCAACUUCAGCUGUUUGGGGCCUUCCGGGCCUUGGUAGCGCAGCUAACGCGUGAAGUUGACCGCCUGGGGUGAGUCAAAAUUCGGCUCAAAGGAAUUGACGGGGACCCGCACAGAAAGCGGUGGAUGAUGUGGAUUAAUUCGAUGCAACGCGAAAAACCUUACCUACCCUUGACAUGUCUGGAAUCCCGAAGAGAUUUGAGGUGCUCGCAAGAGAACCGUUUACGAUUACUGCAUAGCUGUCGUCAAGCUCAUGUCCGUGAGAUGUUGGGUUAAGUCCGCAACGAGCGCAACCCUUGUCAUUAGUUGCUGAAAGGGCACUCUAAUGAGACUGCCGGUGACAAACCGGAGGGAAGGUGGGGGAUGACGUCAAGUCCUCAUGGCCCUUAUGGGUAGGGCUUCACACGUCGCUACAAUGGUCGGGACAGGGUCACCAACCCGCGAGGGGGAGCCAAUCCAGAAACCCGAUCGUAGUCCGGAUCAUGAUCUGCAACUCGACUCGUGGCGAAGUCGAAAUCUGUCGGCUAAUCGCGGAUCGGCAUGUCGCGGUGAAUACACGUUCCCGGGUCUUGUACACACCGCCCGUCACACCAUGGGAGUGGGUUUACCAGAAAGUAGUUAGCCUAACCGUAAGGAGGGCGAUUACGGUAGGAUUCAUGACUGGGGUGGUAGCUGGGUAA